rnacentral:rRNA from 1 species
AAUAACAAUCGGAAACGAUUGCUAAUACUGCAUAAUGCAGCGGCAUCUAUGAUGACAGUUGUUAAAGCGGGGGAUCGCAAGACCUCGCGCCUGAAGAGAAGUCCGCGUCAGAUUAGCUAGUUGGUAGGGUAAUGGCCUACCAAGGUGACGAUCUGUAGCCGGCCUGAGAGGGCGGUCGGCCACACUGACACUGAUAUACGGGUCAG